UGGGGAAUAUUGGGCAAUGGGCGAAAGCCUGACCCAGCAACGCCGCGUGAGGGAAGAAGGGUUUCGGCUCGUAAACCUCUGUCCUAUGGGACGAAGGAAGUGACGGUACCAUAGGAGGAAGCCCCGGCUAACUACGUGCCAGCAGCCGCGGUAAUACGUAGGGGGCGAGCGUUGUCCGGAAUGAUUGGGCGUAAAGGGCGCGUAGGCGGCCUGCUAAGUCUGGAGUGAAAGUCCUGCUUUCAAGGUGGGAAUUGCUUUGGAUACUGGUGGGCUGGAGUGCAGGAGAGGAAAGCGGAAUUACCGGUGUAGCGGUGAAAUGCGUAGAGAUCGGUAGGAACACCAGUGGCGAAGGCGGCUUUCUGGACUGAAACUGACGCUGAGGCGCGAAAGCGUGGGGAGCAAACAGGAUUAGAUACCCUGGUAGUCCACGCGGUAAACGAUGAAUGCUAGGUGUAGGAGGUAUCGACCCCUUCUGUGCCGCAGUAAACACAAUAAGCAUUCCGCCUGGGGAGUAUGGCCGCAAGGUUGAAACUCAAAGGAAUUGACGGGGGCCCGCACAAGCAGCGGAGCAUGUGGUUUAAUUCGAAGCAACGCGAAGAACCUUACCAGGUCUUGACAUCCGUGUAAAGCCGAAGAGAUUCGGUGUGAGCUUGCUCAAUACGAGACAGGUGGUGCAUGGUUGUCGUCAGCUCGUGUCGUGAGAUGUUGGGUUAAGUCCCGCAACGAGCGCAACCCUUAUCUUUAGUAGCCAGCGGUCAGGCCGGGCACUCUAGAGAGACUGCCAGGGAUAACCUGGAGGAAGGCGGGGAUGACGUCAAAUCAUCAUGCCCCUUAUGACUUGGGCUACACACGUGCUACAAUGGCGUAAACAAAGGGAAGCAAAGCUGUGAAGCCGAGCAAAUCUCAAAAAUAACGUCUCAGUUCGGACUGUAGUCUGCAACCCGACUACACGAAGCUGGAAUCGCUAGUAAUCGCAGAUCAGAAUGCUGCGGUGAAUACGUUCCC
rnacentral:rRNA from 1 species